UACGUAGGGUGCGAGCGUUGUUCGGAAUCAUUGGGCGUAAAGCGAGAGUAGGUGGUUUGCUAAGUCGGGUGUGAAAUCCCUGGGCUCAACCCAGGAAGUGCAUUCGAAACUAGCUCACUUGAAGAUGGUAGAGGAAGGUGGAAUUCCAAGUGUAGAGGUGAAAUUCGUAGAUAUUUGGAGGAAUACCGGCGGCGAAGGCGGCCUUCUGGACCAUUCUUGACACUGAGACUCGAAAGCGUGGGUAGCAAACAGG
rnacentral:rRNA from 2 species